rnacentral:lncRNA from 1 species
AAGGCUCCAACACAGGGAUCCAAGGAUUAUACUUGUGCAUUCGAUCAAACACCUUUUCAUACCAUAUGCUUUCAGCGCUUUUAUUAUCCUGGAAUAUGCGGUGAAAAUGUUCUCCCACUAUUACUGCCUAGAUCAUGACCACUUCAUCCUCAAUUCCUGAAUAAUGAUUGCUGAUUACCUGUAUGCUUACCUUUCCAAAUAUACUUAUUUUCUAGGCG